UAAAUUUUAUUUAUUAUAUUUUCCCGAGAUACUAUGAGCUAUAUUACUAUAUUUGAUGAUAGUCACCUUUAUAGUCCAUCUGUAACAGUAGAUUAACUAAAUAUUAAUAUAGGAAUGAAAUGUUUUCAUAUAGUAUGAUAGCUGGAUAUCACCUAAAUAUAUUAAGUAUAACUUAUACAAUUAAGGAGUUAUUAGAUUCCUUAAAUUAUAGUAUUGAGAUUACUAAAUCUGAAAGUAAUAAUUUCUUUAACAUACUCUGAAUUUAUUAUUCAAAUUCGAAUUGAAUCUAUUAUAGCACUAGGGUAUAGAUUUGUUUAAUUCUUAUGUCUAAAAUUUUUUAAUGUUUAAAUUAGUAUUUAAUUAUCAAUUAGAAUAAAGGAACUCGGCAAAAUAAUUAGUGAACUGUUUAACAAAAACAUAGUCUAAAGAAUUAUUCCUCAAUUUAUUUUAGAUGUUUCCUGCCCGGUGAUUAUUUUAACGGCCGCAGUACUUUGACUGUGCUAAGGUAGCAUAAUAAAUAGGCUUUUAAUUGAAGUCGGGUAUGAAUGGAAUAAUCACUAAUUUCUGUCUCUACAUUAUAUUUUCUAAAAUUUAAUAAUCAGGUGAAAAUUCCUGAAUCUAUAACAUUAGACGAGAAGACCCUUAGAAUUAUUAAAUAUUUUAAUUUCAUUUGAAUUAACUGUUGUUUGUUGGGGCAACAGCUUUGGAUAUAAAUCUAUUUAAAUCAAAGCGAUUAUCACUACAUUAAUUUAACUUAUAUUUAUAAUUUACAAUUAAUUACCUAAGGGAUAACAGCAUAAUUUCAGAUAAUUAGCUUAUGACCUCGAUGUUGGAUUAAGGACCACUUAUAUAAGUAGUAUAAGUGUAAGGUUCUGUUCGAACUAUAUUUCCUUA
rnacentral:rRNA from 1 species